rnacentral:rRNA from 1 species
ACGAACGCUGGCGGCGUGCUUAACACAUGCAAGUCGAGCGGGGAUACCGUUGGAAGUCCUUCGGGAUGGAAGACGGUAUUCUAGCGGCGGACGGGUGAGUAACGCGUGAACAAUCUGUCCCAGACAGGGGGAUAACAGAUGGAAACAUCUGCUAAUACCGCAUAAGACCACGGGAUCGCAUGGUACUGAGGUAAAAGGAGCAAUCCGGUCUGGGGUGAGUUCGCGUCCGAUUAGCUAGUUGGCGAGGUAACGGCCCACCAAGGCGACGAUCGGUAGCCGACCUGAGAGGGUGAUCGGCCACAUUGGAACUGAGAGACGGUCCAAACUCCUACGGGAGGCAGCAGUGGGGAAUAUUGGGCAAUGGGCGAAAGCCUGACCCAGCAACGCCGCGUGAGUGAAGAAGGCUUUCGGGUUGUAAAGCUCUGUCCUUGGGGACGAAGGAAGUGACGGUACCUAAGGAGGAAGCCCCGGCUAACUACGUGCCAGCAGCCGCGGUAAUACGUAGGGGGCGAGCGUUGUCCGGAAUGACUGGGCGUAAAGGGCGUGUAGGCGGCCGAUUAAGUGUGGAGUGAAAGUCCUGCUUUUAAGGUGGGAAUUGCUUUGCAGACUGGUUGGCUUGAGUGCGGAAGAGGUAAGUGGAAUUCCCAGUGUAGCGGUGAAAUGCGUAGAGAUUGGGAGGAACACCAGUGGCGAAGGCGACUUACUGGGCCGUAACUGACGCUGAGGCGCGAAAGCGUGGGGAGCGAACAGGAUUAGAUACCCUGGUAGUCCACGCUGUAAACGAUGAAUGCUAGGUGUUGCGGGUAUCGACCCCUGCAGUGCCGGAGUAAACGCAAUAAGCAUUCCGCCUGGGGAGUACGGCCGCAAGGUAGAGGCUCAAAGGAAUUGACGGGGGCCCGCACAAGCAGUGGAGUAUGUGGUUUAAUUCGACGCAACGCGAAGAACCUUACCAAGUCUUGACAUCCCUUGACGAUGCUGGAAACAGUAUUUCUCUUCGGAGCAAGGGGACAGGUGGUGCAUGGUUGUCGUCAGCUCGUGUCGUGAGAUGUUGGGUUAAGUCCCGCAACGAGCGCAACCCUUAUGGUCAGUUACUAACGGGUAAAGCCGAGGACUCUGACAAGACUGCCGGGGACAACUCGGAGGAAGGUGGGGACGACGUCAAAUCAUCAUGCCCCUUAUGACAUGGGCUACAAACGUGCUACAAUGGCGGCUACAAAGAGGAGCGAGACUGUAAAGUUGAGCGGAUCUCAAAAAAGCCGUCUCAGUUCGGAUUGUGGGCUGCAACCCGCCCACAUGAAGUUGGAGUUGCUAGUAAUCGCGGAUCAGCAUGCCGCGGUGAAUACGUUCCCGGGCCUUGUACACACCGCCCGUCACACCAUGGGAGUUGGGAGCACCCGAAGCCGGUGAGCUGACCGCAAGGAGGCAGCCGUCGAAGGUGAGACCGAUGACUGGGGUG